GGUUACUGCUAUCGGUGUUCGCCUAAGCCAUGCGAGUCAUAUGUUCGUAAGAACAUGGCGUACUGCUCAGUAACACGUGGAUAACCUGCCCUUGGGUCCGGCAUAACCCCGGAAAACUGGGGAUAAUUCCGGAUAACGCACAUAUGCUGGAAUGCUUUAUGCGUAAAAUGGAUUCGUCUGCCCAAGGAUGGGUCUGCGGCCUAUCAGGUAGUAGUGGGUGUAAUGUACCUACUAGCCUACGACGGGUACGGGUUGUGAGAGCAAGAGCCCGGAGAUGGAUUCUGAGACAUGAAUCCAGGCCCUACGGGGCGCAGCAGGCGCGAAAACUUUACAAUGCGGGAAACCGUGAUAAGGGGACACCGAGUGCCAGCAUCCUAUGCUGGCUGUCCGGGUGUGUAAAAUACACCUGUUAGCAAGGGCCGGGCAAGACCGGUGCCAGCCGCCGCGGUAACACCGGCGGCCCGAGUGGUGAUCGUGAUUAUUGGGUCUAAAGGGUCCGUAGCCGGUUUGGUCAGUCCUCCGGGAAAUCUGACAGCUUAACUGUUAGGCUUUCGGAGGAUACUGCCAGACUUGGAACCGGGAGAGGUAAGAGGUACUACAGGGGUAGGAGUGAAAUCUUGUAAUCCCUGUGGGACCACCUGUGGCGAAGGCGUCUUACCAGAACGGGUUCGACGGUGAGGGACGAAAGCUGGGGGCACGAACCGGAUUAGAUACCCGGGUAGUCCCAGCCGUAAACGAUGCUCGCUAGGUGUCAGGCAUGGCGACCGUGUCUGGUGCCGCAGGGAAGCCGUGAAGCGAGCCACCUGGGAAGUACGGCCGCAAGGCUGAAACUUAA
rnacentral:rRNA from 1 species